GCCAGUGUGGCAAAGUGGUUUGAGUGCUGAACUUCGAUUCUGGAGACCAGGGUUCGAUUCCCAGAUCAGCCA